UGCUGGAAGCCAAAAUGUUGAAAAUCUUUCAUAUGGUUUUAUUACUGGAAUAUCCAGAUGGGUUGCUUGCAUUGAUUAGAUUCCAUAGGAAAUGAAUAAAACUCUACUUCCUGUUUUGUAUGAUAAUUAUAAAGUGAGUGACGUGACUUCCUUCUCCAGUUCAGAUGAACGUAGGAUAACAUUUUCUUUAAGUGUUAGUAAAAAGGCCAUUUUUCCUUCUACCCAGGCUGUCUUUCACUUUCUCUUUUCCUGCAGUUCUGCAGGCUUGAGAAUGGUGGUGCUACUGUCCCAUUCUUGUUUUCCUGUUGAAAAAAGAUUUAGGGCUUUCACUUCUCUGGAUCAUUAAUAGCAUUUACAGCAAGGUAAAGGAAGAAGAAAGCACCAUUCAAUACCAUGAAUCACGGAACAAGCUGAUGACUUACGAAGGUCAGGGAAGGACCUGCCAGCAUCUUUUCAAUUCAUGUGUGCAGGCAUUCCACAGAUUACUAAGUGCACUGUCACUUUUACAGGGAAGUGUCAGAUAUUAGCCUCAGCUAAGGAGGCAGAAGCUCAUUGUAGCAGAUUGAUCUUUGGAGACAAAUCUGUGCUUAUCUAAUUCAUUUCAGAAAGCUCUCCAAUAUUCCAAAAAGCACAAAUCAGGUCAAGGAAAAUGUGAAUUGACUCUGAAGGAAAAGCACAAAGAGAGUAGAGCUUUACAAGUGAAAGGAGUGGUGAGGUUUCUGUAUCCCCAAAACAUAGGAGUAAAGGAGCUUAUGGGUGUUUUGUAGGCAUAAGUGUAGAAGCAUUACAGAGAGAGACUAAGAGCCCGUACCUAUGCCUGCACAGGCCAAAUGUGCCUCGGGUGGCCCUAAGCAGAAAACAAAGUUACCAUUUCUCCCUUUUAAGGGCUUGCCAUUGCAUCAUCAGUUGGGCCUGGCUCUCUUUCCUCCUCCUUUCUGAGGCUUGAGGGAGAGGAAAGUCCUUCCUGCCUGGGGCGCCCAGAGCUGUCACUUUGGCUCUGGUUCAGUGAAACCUGGCCAUUGACAGGACAGAUGGCUAUGGCAGCAGCCCAUCCCAUCAGCCCUAGAAGCCCUGUUUCUAUUCAGAUCAUGUUCUCAAGUGAUCUUUAGCGGAUCCAUGCUUAAGCAUAGAAACAGAAAGCUUUGGCCAGCUUCUAGUUCCCAUUAGCUUGUCUCUGAGACACCAUGCUUAGUUGUGUGUGUAUCUGAAUUGAGGCAGUCAGUGAUGUACUAGGGCUGAAAUAGUAAUAAUAAUAACAAUUCUGACAGCUUUGAAGGUAGACCCUCCUGCUCAUUUUAAAUCACAGGCGCUGUUCUCUGCUUAGCUCUAUGGAGCAAUAAAAAGAAAAAAAUACAAAAAGGCAGGCUGGGGAGAAGUGUGUUGCUCCUGUGUGGGGGCGGGAUCAUCUGAGGAGUGUUUCCAGGGAACUCUGGCAGGAGGGUUCUUGUUCAUGAAGGAUUUCCCCGGCACUGCGCUGUGGCAGGAUAACAGAUGGGCUUCUCUGUAUUACAGAAGGGAAAAUACCUUUUGUCUUCGCCAAUGCCCUUCACUGCAGGCAAGCAAAUAGGAGGGCCUUGUAAGCACCACUUCUGCUCCUCGAUGCAGCCUCUGUCAUGAGCCAUCAGAUUUUUCUCUGUAAGAAUAGAAAGUCUUUUCACAGUAUUCUCCUCCUGAAAGCUGUCAGCCAUGAAGAGUGCCAUGUCCUUGUUUAGAGACGCAGCUUCUGGAAUGCUUGAGUGAAAAGCCAAAGGCAUUUCAUUUCUGAGGUUGUCAAAAAUAUUCACAGUCUUCCUGCUUGUGCCGAGGAUGCUGACCUCAUUCUCUCCAGAUUUGUACCAUAUGUGGAGACUGGAGACUCCAGGACAUAGGAUUACAGUUUGGAAAGGUCUCCCUUGUUGGAAUGGACUCAGCACACUUAGGAUAAAGCUUAAGGAAAACUCAGCCACUCAUGCAAUUUUGUAAAGGAGUCUGUACCUUUGCUUGCAAUUUUAUAAUUGUCUUGAUUUCUUUUAUUUGUAACCUUACACACCAUUUGCCAGAAAAAUUCAAUAAAACGGAACAACGAGGAAUUCUUACUAUGACUUGACAUCUCCUUUCUUCAACUGACCUCAUCUCUUGCUUGGACCACUGAAGCAGAAGCAGGCUUCUAGCAGCCUCUCUGUUGCCACCAUCUUUCCUUUCCAUCCAUUCUCCAAAAAGCAACCUAAGCGAUCAUCCCAAGGCCCACAAGGCCCUGUAUGAGCAACUUUUGCCUGCCUCUUCAACUACAAAGGUAUAAUUCCUGAAAUAUUAAAAAAAUUUACAGUGA